GAGUAUUUUCAUAUUGGGACCGACCCAGCGCCAUCUUGUCACAUUUGCGACGUACAUCUGAUGAUCCAGAACAUGACGAGGACGAACAGGAAAAACAAUUAGGAAUAUAAUAUUCGGCGGACAAGAUAAAAGGAGUUUCAGGCCAAACAAGCUUACAUUGAUUGUGGAGCCAUAAGAGGAGAUACCAGAGCUUCAUCCAUCGUGGAUGUUUAUCCAGAGAACUGCAUCAUUGGAAGCCAACUUUGCUCUGGUGAAGGCCCUUCCCAUUCUCUUUCCCCCAGUGGCACCUCCAUCAAAGAAACUGGGGUGUGCUAGUGAAGCUUUACUGCAUGUUCAGGAGUCAACAGAAGAUCCAAACGUCUUCAUCCAGAAGAGAGGCCUGUCAAGUCCAGUCUUGGUGUUUGAUGGCAGCAGAUGAAUCGUUGCUAUUGGUUUGAUGCCAGUGACGUUUGAAAAAGAAAAGCUUCACGAGGGUCUGAUUUUCUAAAUGGCAUAUUAUUACACACUACAUCUGACCUACACAAAUUGCGUGGCCACCCUUCUGUCAUUCAGACAGAGAUCCUUCAGGAUACAAUUCACAAGUGGGACAUCACCACCACAUGAAAGAGCAUUAAAGUAAAGAAUUUGUUGGAAGAUAAACUGCUUUUGCAGGUCAAUGUUUAUGUCUGUUUAGAUGAGUAUUCUAAUUGUGUUGUUAAAGAAAUAUUGUAUUCCUAGUGCCUUUGGGUAAAUUUGUAUCACAAAUCUCAGUUUGUAAGUUGAAUAAAAGAAUCGAAAAGUGAA